CCAUGUCCAAACCUUGCUGUUGCAUGGGCAACAUGGAAUCAUGGAAUGUUUUGAAUUGUAAGAGAUUCUUCAAGGUCAUAGAGUCCAACCCUUGCCAUGGCCAGGGACAUCUUCCACCAUCCCAGGCUGCUCCAAGCCCCAUCCAGCCUGGCCUGGAACACUUCCAGGGAUCCAGGGGCAGCCACAGCUGCUCUGGGCACUCUGUGCCAGGGCCUGCCCACCCUCACAGGGAAGAAUUUCUUCCCAAUAUCCAAUCUAACCUUGUCCUCUGACUGCCAGCUCCACAGAGCAAUGCACCUUUGGGAUCCCAGCUACGCUUGGUCUCAUUGCAAAAGCAACAUUUGGAAACAAAAAUUAACUGCCAGUGUUAGGUAGCUACCCAGAGCUGAGAAAUGUACUCACAGAAAAAGAGGAAAAGCACCAGUGUUUCCCAUAAUGAACAAAAGCUCAAUGCUGCUCUCAGCUGGACAUGUGUUCUCCCUGUGCAGCUCCAGUUCCAAUGGAGAUAAUUCCUUCAUAAUAUAUUUUUUAUGGCACACAUGA